rnacentral:rRNA from 1 species
GAUGAACGCUAGCGGCAGGCCUAAUACAUGCAAGUCGAGGGAGAAAUUAAAGCUUGCUUUAAUGGAAACCGGCGCACGGGUGCGUAACGCGUAUGCAAUCUACCUAUUACUGGGGGAUAGCCCGGGGAAACUCGGAUUAAUACCCCAUAGUACCAUCAGAUGGCAUCUGAAGAUGGUUAAAGUUCCGGCGGUAAUAGAUGAGCAUGCGUAAGAUUAGCUAGUUGGUGAGGUAAUAGCUCACCAAGGCGACGAUCUUUAGGGGGUCUGAGAGGAUGAUCCCCCACACUGGCACUGAGAUACGGGCCAGACUCCUACGGGAGGCAGCAGUAGGGAAUAUUGGUCAAUGGGCGAAAGCCUGAACCAGCCAUGCCGCGUGCAGGAUGACGGCCUUCUGGGUUGUAAACUGCUUUUAUAUGGGAAGAAAAUGUCCUUGCGAGGAAAAUUGACGGUACCAUAUGAAUAAGCACCGGCUAACUCCG